UGUUUAAAACUGUUUUACACAAACUAGCAUUUUUUUGUCUACUAGCAAUGAAAGCCAAGUUUCAAGAGACAAGUUUAACUAGAUUUCAGUCAUCUACUGUUGAUAAUGUAGGCUGGUACAAGGUUCUCCAGACAUGAUAGGCACAUCCGAACAAUCAGAUAACAUGAUUACAUUACAAGGCCAAGCUUGUAAUGUAGAUGCAUUAGCAUGCUCCACUGGUCUAGCUGAUCCACGACCGUCAAGGAGAGGUCGUGGACGUAGACCAACCAUGGGGCAUGGGCUUCAGGAGUAUGCAAGCUGAAAUGGAGGGAGGAAAAUGUGUAUUGAUUUUACGCGGGGAAAUUGGGACCUACAGACCCAGUCCAAGCUACAAAGCUUUCUUCUGAGUGUGGCAUCCACAUCAGGAGCCGAAUGCAUGCUGCUACGCACUGGAAUGACUAUGACAAAAGCCCACUCAAACAUGUUAUUCCCCAUGCUAUUAAAGAUAUCAUGGUGGGAUAGUUUCCUUAAAUUUCAUACACGUUUUCACAUGUUGCAUAGUCAAUUUAGUGAUAUAUCCUAUAUAUGAUUGGUAUUUCAGCUUAACUUUGAGAUGGAAAAGGAUGACAAGGUUGGGAAUGAUGUAUGCACAAAAGUAAUACUGAAGGGUGUUCGACAACAACGCUACAGGCUAAAGAAGAAAUACUUCAAUGGUUAUACUGCUCAGGAAGCAUUAUCAAAUAAACCAGCGAACAUCACUCAUGAGAAUUGGACCAGCCAUGUCAAUAAAUGGUCUGAUGAAAGAAACAAGGAAAUAUGUCAAAUGAAUAAGGAAAACCGAGAAGCUGUCAAGCAUCACCAAAAGACUGGAUCUAUGUCUUAUGUUGCCUUUUUCAGCAAACUUAAAAAAGACAAGUACAAUAAUCAGGACCCAAGUCCCAUUGAGUUUUCAAAGACACCCAUACAAACAGCAAGACUGAUAGCAUGAGCGAGCCGACACUUCUAGCUCAUAAUGCGAUGGAAAAGAAAAGGGAAACACAAUCAGAAGGUGAGUAGCUAGUAUCCGAUACAGCGAUUGUGGCUGAAGUUCUAAAGGAAGAAAGUGCCCAUAGCACCUUCCUUUCCAGCAUGGGGUAUGCAUCAAGAUCCGAGAGGUCUGGGAGCUCUACUUCAUCAGCCCAGAUCCGAGUUUUAGAAGAAAGAAUUGAACAGAAGGAUAGAGAGGCAAGAGAUGC